CACCUGCGCGGAAAAUAUAACGGGGCUAAAACUAAGUGCCGAAGCUACGGGUUUAUAUAGAAAAUAUAGGCGGUAGAGGAGCGUUGUGUAGGUCUGUGAAGGGAUAUUGAAAAAUGUUCUGGAGAUAUCACAAGUGCGAAUGCUGACAUGAGUAACGAUAAGGGAUGUGAGAAACAUCCCCGCCGAAAAACUAAGGUUUUCUGUUCAACGGUAAUCGGAGCAGAGUUAGUCGGCCCUAAGGUGAGGCUGAAAAGCGUAAUCGAUGGAAAAUGGGUUAAUAGUCCCAUACCAUAUGUAAUUGCGAUGGGGUGACGAAUAAGGCUAUGCGGGCCCAGCGUUGGUUGUCUGGGUUUAAGUAUGUAGGUUUAGAAGUUAGGUAAAUCCGAUUUCUUAAUAAAACCAAGGUAUGAGACGAACAGUGAAGUCGUUGAAGCCAAAAUUCCAGGAAAAACCUCUAAGCUUCAGAUUACAUAUGACCGUACCAUAAACCGACACAGGUGGUUAGGUAGAGCAUACUAAGGCGUUUGAGAGAACUCGGGUGAAGGAACUAGGCAAAAUGGUGCCGUAACUUCGGGAGAAGGCACGCUGGCGUUAGGUGAAGGGACAUGCUUCUGGAGCCGAGGCCAGCCGCAGAGACCAGCUAGCUGCAACUGUUUAUUAAAAACACAGCACUCUGCUAACGCGUAAGCGGACGUAUAGGGUGUGACGCCUGCCCGGUGCUGGAAGGUUAAGAGGAAAUGUGAAAGCAUUAAAUUGAAGCCCCAGUAAACGGCGGCCGUAACUAUAACGGUCCUAAGGUAGCGAAAUUCCUUGUCGGGUAAGUUCCGACCUGCACGAAUGGCGUAAUGAUGGCUAGGCUGUCUCCACCCGAGACUCAGUGAAAUUGAAUUUGCUGUGAAGAUGCAGUGUUCCCGCGGCAAGACGGAAAGACCCCGUGAACCUUUACUAUAGCUUUGCACUGGUGUUAGGAAUCAAAUGUGCAGGAUAGGUGGGAGACUAUGAAGCAGAGGCGUCAGCCUUUGUGGAGUCACCCUUGAGAUACCACCCUUUUGGUUCUUGACAUCUAACCGAGAUCCUUGAAUCAGGAUCCGAGACAAUGCAUGGUGGGUAGUUUGACUGGGGCGGUCGCCUCCCAAAGAGUAACGGAGGCGCGCGAUGGUUAGCUCAGGUUGGUCGGAAAUCAACUUUUAGAGUGCAAUGGCAUAAGCUAGCCUGACUGCGAGUCUGACAAGACGAGCAGAGACGAAAGUCGGUCAUAGUGAUCCGGUGGUCCCGAGUGGAAGGGCCAUCGCUCAACGAAUAAAAGGUACUCCGGGGAUAACAGGCUAAUACCGCCCAAGAGUUCACAUCGACGGCGGUGUUUGGCACCUCGAUGUCGGCUCAUCACAUCCUGGGGCUGGAAAAGGUCCCAAGGGUUCGGCUGUUCGCCGAUUAAAGUGGUACGUGAGCUGGGUUUAGAACGUCGUGAGACAGUUCGGUCCCUAUCUGCCGUGGGUGUAGGAAGUUUGAGAGGAUCUGCCUUUAGUACGAGAGGACCGAGGUGGACGUACCCCUGGUGGACCAGUUGUCGUGCCAACGGCACAGCUGGGUAGCUAAGUACGGAAGGGAUAACCGCUGAAUGCAUCUAAGCAGGAAACCCACCUCAAAACUAGACUUCCCCAUUAGAGCCGUGGAAGACCACCACGUUGA
rnacentral:rRNA from 1 species